UUAAAUUGAAGAGUUUGAUCAUGGCUCAGAUUGAACGCUCGCGGCAGGCCUAACACAUGCAAGUCGAACGGUAACAGGAAGCAGCUUGCUGCUUUGCUGACGAGUGGCGGACGGGUGAGUAAUGUCUGGGAAACUGCCUGAUGGAGGGGGAUAACUACUGGAAACGGUAGCUAAUACCGCAUAACGUCGCAAGACCAAAGAGGGGGACCUUCGGGCCUCUUGCCAUCGGAUGUGCCCAGAUGGGAUUAGCUAGUAGGUGGGGUAAAGGCUCACCUAGGCGACGAUCCCUAG
rnacentral:rRNA from 1 species